rnacentral:rRNA from 1 species
UCAGCAGCCGCGGUAAUACGUAGGCAGCAAGCGUUGUUCGGAGUUACUGGGCGUAAAGGGUGUGUAGGCGGUUGCUUAAGUUUGGUGUGAAAUCUCCCGGCUUAACUGGGAGGGUGCGCCGAAUACUGAGUAACUAGAGUGCGGGAGAGGAAAGUGGAAUUCCUGGUGUAGCGGUGAAAUGCGUAGAUAUCAGGAGGAACACCGGCGGUGUAGACGGCUUUCUGGACCGUAACUGACGCUGAGACACGAAAGCGUGGGUAGCAAACAGGAUUAGAUACCCUGGUAGUCCACGCCCUAAACGAUGCAUAUUUGGUGUGGGCAGUUCAUUCUGUCCGUGCCGGAGCUAACGCGUUAAAUAUGCCGCCUGGGGAGUACAGUCGCAAGGCUGAAACUUAAAGGAAUUGGCGGGGGAC